rnacentral:rRNA from 1 species
UACGUAGGGGGCAAGCGUUGUCCGGAAUCAUUGGGCGUAAAGAGCGUGUAGGCGGCCAGGUAGGUCGGUUGUGAAAACUGGAGGCUCAACCUUCAGAGGUCGACCGAAACCAUCUGGCUAGAGUCCGGAAGAGGAGAGUGGAAUUCCUGGUGUAGCGGUGAAAUGCGCAGAUAUCAGGAAGAACACCAAUGGCGAAGGCAGCUCUCUGGGACGGUACUGACGCUGAGACGCGAAAGCGUGGGGAGCGAACAGG